rnacentral:rRNA from 1 species
CAACUUUUGAAUGUUGACCUCGGAUCAGGUAGGAAUACCCGCUGAACUUAAGCAUAUCAAUAAGCGGAGGAAAAGAAACCAACAGGGAUUGCCCUAGUAACGGCGAGUGAAGCGGCAACAGCUCAAAUUUGAAAUCUGGCUCUCGGGCCCGAGUUGUAAUUUGUAGAGGAUACUUUUGAUGCGGUGCCUUCCGAGUUCCCUGGAACGGGACGCCAUAGAGGGUGAGAGCCCCGUCUGGUUGGAUGCCAAAUCUCUGUAAAGUUCCUUCGACGAGUCGAGUAGUUUGGGAAUGCUGCUCUAAAUGGGAGGUAUAUGUCUUCUAAAGCUAAAUACCGGCCAGAGACCGAUAGCGCACAAGUAGAGUGAUCGAAAGAUGAAAAGCACUUUGAAAAGAGAGUUAAAAAGUACGUGAAAUUGUUGAAAGGGAAGCGUUUAUGACCAGACUUGGGCUUGGUUAAUCAUCUGGGGUUCUCCCCAGUGCACUUUUCCAGUCCAGGCCAGCAUCAGUUUUCCCCGGGGGAUAAAGACUUCGGGAAUGUGGCUCUCUUCGGGGAGUGUUAUAGCCCGUUGUGUAAUACCCUGGGGGGGACUGAGGUUCGCGCAUCUGCAAUGGAUG